AUAGCAACAGCAGCGUAGCUGAACAUCUUACGGAUGGCCCAGGGCUCCAAAGGCUCGUUUCCUAAGUGAGAGAGAGCCUGGCUGAAGCUGUAUUACCAUUCAUUCUCCAGCCUCCGAAGUCUCAAAGCAUCACUUCCACCAUACUCUAACUGUCAAGACAAACACAAAGGCCCAGAAACUGCCAGACUGUCUUCUGAAGUGGCUAUAAUAUUUACACUCCCAUCAGCAGUGUAGAAGGGGUCUCACUAUGUUGUCUGGAGUGCUGUGGUGGAGUGGAGUGGCUAUUCACAGAGCCUGUUCUGCUGGGACACAGAAUCACUUGCUCCAUCUCAUACAUUGAUGAUGAUUAAUUUGUAUGUGUACCUUCCAAAAAAGAUGGUUGUGUUUGAAUGGAGGCCUUCUGGACAGGAAAAUAUGGAGAGUGCGUGCUUUGGAUUCAAGACUGGGAAUGAGGGGACCAGAAACCUAUUCUGUGGCUGUUUCUUGUUAGGACUUUCCUAAGCCUCUGGAAAAGACUAAUCUUUCCAAGUUCAUCUGAGGCUCCUCUUCUCCAUGACAACCUCAUCCAGGGAUUUCUUCCUGUCCUGGUGUUUUAUGACAUAAUCACAUCCUUCCUGAGAUAAUGAGCACACAAUUGCCUGGAUACCUGAAGGAAUGGAGACAGCGGCAGAAAACACUGCAGAGAGGUGGAAACAUCCGUUAAUAUUUUAAAAUCCCAUUACUGCUACCAACAAUAAUAAUGGAUGCAUAGAAAUAGAUCUGGAUUAGCUGAGCUUGAAACAGUCCAUCUCACACACACACAAAAGAAUUUCAGAUACAGUGAACCCACAUGUUGAAGCUUUCUAGUAUAAUAAAAAUUUCAACUGUUCUGUUGAAUCAUCUGCCUGAUUGGAGGCUACAGAAAAGAUGUCAUCUUAGGAGUGCUUGCUCUGAGUGAGGCUCAUCUUCAAAUCUGAAUGACCACAAGGAGAUUUGAUUAUACAUGUGAACACCUCAGAAGGCACAGCCCACCCAGAAGGCAGACAGGUCAGGCUGCUUUUUCUUCAUUGCUUGGAUUCAAUCCUCCGGGCGGCUCAGGCUCAAACAUAACUUAAGCAUGAUUAAACUUUAGAAGAAGCUGCCAGGAAGACUGUGAAAUCUUCAUGCCCAAGGAUCCCUAAAAUUAGGAGCAACAACCACUUGGCUCAGACGGUUUAUGGAGGCAAAGGUUUGGAUGGGAUUAGAGAUUUCUAAAUGUGAGUUCGUGUCCUCUGCCAGACCACCUUACUUCCACCAUUCCUCAGCAAAUCAAGAAAAACAGGAGAAAAGACAUGCCUUUCCAUAAGUUAAAUCUAUUCUGUUUUAAUUCUAUAUUAUAUCUGCUGUACAACUUCUUUUGUUUGUAACACCAUAUUGUUGCUAGUAACUGGAAAUUAAUUUUCACAUGCCUCAGCUUAGAAAAAUAAAAAGCAGCCCUGCAUCAAUCCCAA
rnacentral:lncRNA from 1 species